GGGGGAUGCUGGGCACUCCUGGCUCAGGCAUAGCUCAAGAGCAUCCUUUGGCUGUUCGAGCUCAGUGGAUCAGGCUGUGCUGCACACAGGCUGAUGAGCUGCUAAUGGCAAAGUAUACCCAGCUGGGCUGAGUGCUGCCAGGGCAAGGUGACUGCUGCUGAAGCAAAAUGCUUCAUGGAAAUUGUUGUCAUUUUGCAGCAAGGAGGGCUGUGUGUGUCACCUACUGGCAAGGAAGAGGAAGGGUGACUGGAAGGUAAAGGUCUGUCUCUCCCUGGAUGGUGCAGCACUCCCAGUGCACACAGGUGGAAAUCGAUAUCAUCUCAGAAGGACAGUCCACAGCAUUGUUGAGACUGUUGAAGGAGAUGUUCCAGCUGCCACCAGGCCAUGGAGAUGUGCUUCUGUCCAGACAGCAAACUUCCAGUGGUGCAGUGUGA
rnacentral:lncRNA from 1 species